UACGUAGGGGGCAAGCGUUGUCCGGAUUUAUUGGGCGUAAAGAGCGUGUAGGCGGCCAGACAGGUCAGCUGUGAAAACUCGAGGCUCAACCUCGAGAUGUCGGCGGAAACCGUCUGGCUAGAGUCCGGAAGAGGAGAGUGGAAUUCCUGGUGUAGCGGUGAAAUGCGCAGAUAUCAGGAAGAACACCUAUGGCGAAGGCAGCUCUCUGGGACGGUACUGACGCUGAGACGCGAAAGCGUGGGGAGCGAACAGG
rnacentral:rRNA from 1 species